UACGGGGGGGGGCAAGCGUUGUUCGGAAUUACUGGGCGUAAAGGGCGCGUAGGUGGCCUUCUUAGUCAGACGUGAAAUCCCUGGGCUUAACUCAGGAACUGCGUCUGAUACUGGAAGGCUCGAGUUCGGGAGAGGAAUGUGGAAUUCCAGGUGUAGCGGUGAAAUGCGUAGAUAUCUGGAGGAACACCGGUGGCGAAGGCGGCAUUCUGGACCGAAACUGACACUGAGGCGCGAAAGCCAGGGGAGCAAACGGG
rnacentral:rRNA from 1 species